UACGAAGGGGGCUAGCGUUGCUCGGAAUCACUGGGCGUAAAGCGCACGUAGGCGGAUUGCUAAGUCAGGGGUGAAAUCCUGGAGCUCAACUCCAGAACUGCCUUUGAUACUGGCGAUCUCGAGUCCGGGAGAGGUGAGUGGAACUGCGAGUGUAGAGGUGAAAUUCGUAGAUAUUCGCAAGAACACCAGUGGCGAAGGCGGCUCACUGGCCCGGUACUGACGCUGGGGUGCGAAAGCGUGGGGAGCAAACAGG
rnacentral:rRNA from 1 species